rnacentral:rRNA from 1 species
GACGAACGCUGGCGGCAUGCCUAACACAUGCAAGUUGAGCGACUAACCAGGGCUUGCCCUGGGGCAAAGCAGCGAACGGGUGAGUAACACGUGGGUAACCUGCCGAGAUGACCGGGACAA